CCUACGGGUGACAGCAGUGAGGAAUAUUGGUCAAUGGGCUUACGCCUGAACCAGCCAAGUCGCGUGAGGGAAGACUGCCCUAUGGGUUGUAAACCUCUUUUGUCAGGGAGCAAUUGGCGCUACGUGUAGCGUUAUCGAGAGUACCUGAAGAAACAGCAUCGGCUAACUCCGUGCCAGCAGCCGCGGUAAUACGGGGGAUGCGAGCGGUAUUCGGAUUUAUUGGGUUUAAAGGGUGCUUAGGCGGAUUGCCAAGUCAGCGGUAAAAUCGCUUGGCUCCACCUCGCUCCGCCGUUGAAACUGGCGUUCUUGAGUGGGCGUGAAGUAUGCGGAAUGCGUGGUGUAGCGGUGAAAUGCAUAGAUAUCACGCAGAACUCCGAUUGCGAAGGCAGCAUACCGGCGCCCAACUGACGCUGAAGAACGAAAGCGUGGGUAUCGAACAGGAUUAGAUACCCGGGUAGUC
rnacentral:rRNA from 1 species